AGAUGGCAGCCAGCUGACAGAUCUUGCCAGUGACCCAGGUAUUUUUAUCCUGCUGGGUAGAGAGACUGCAAAGGAGGUCACUGUUACAGCUGUGACCUUCUCCUGGAGACAUGAGAUUCCCUGUGGCCAGAAACAGCCCCAGAAGCCUGCGUGUGCAUCUGGGAUACGUGCCGUUUUCCCAGGCUGAGCAGCUCGGUCUCUGUAGCCCGGGGAACCAGUAACUGAACAAGCAGAUAAUUAUGGAUGAGUCAUGAAACCACCCAGCCCUCUGGAGAUGCCCAUGACUCUACUUGUCUGUUUGACCCCCCUCAGCACAUUCUAAG
ensembl:lncRNA